CACGUAGGGACCGAGCGUUGUCCGGAUUCAUUGGGCGUAAAGAGCUCGUAGGCGGUCGGGUAAGUCGGGUGUGAAAUCUCCGGGCUCAACUCGGAGGGGCCACCCGAUACUGCACGACUCGAGUCCGGUAGGGGAGUGGGGAAUUCCUGGUGUAGCGGUGAAAUGCGCAGAUAUCAGGAGGAACACCAGUGGCGAAGGCGCCGCUCUGGGCCGUGACUGACGCUGAGGAGCGAAAGCGUGGGUAGCAAACAGG
rnacentral:rRNA from 1 species